AAAUUGAAGAGUUUGAUCAUGGCUCAGAUUGAACGCUGGCGGCAGGCCUAACACAUGCAAGUCGAACGGUAACAGGAAACAGCUUGCUGUUUCGCUGACGAGUGGCGGACGGGUGAGUAAUGUCUGGGAAACUGCCUGAUGGAGGGGGAUAACUACUGGAAACGGUAGCUAAUACCGCAUAACGUCGCAAGACCAAAGAGGGGGACCUUAGGGCCUCUUGCCAUCGGAUGUGCCCAGAUGGGAUUAGCUAGUAGGUGGGGUAACGGCUCACCUAGGCGACGAUCCCU
rnacentral:rRNA from 1 species